GCCCUCGUAGCUCAGUUGGAUAGAGCGGCGGUUUCCUAAACCGCAGGUCACAGGUUCGAAUCCUGUCGGGGGUA
rnacentral:tRNA from 1 species